rnacentral:rRNA from 1 species
CUAGCCUACGGGGGGCAGCAGUGAGGAAUAUUGGUCAAUGGGAGAGAUCCUGAACCAGCCAAGUCGCGUGAGGGAAGACGGUCCUAUGGAUUGUAAACCUCUUUAGGCGGGGAGCAAUGCCGGGCACGUGUGCCCGGAGGGAGAGUACCCGCAGAAUAAGCAUCGGCUAACUCCGUGCCAGCAGCCGCGGUAAUACGGAGGAUGCGAGCGUUAUCCGGAUUUAUUGGGUUUAAAGGGAGCGUAGAUGGGUUGUUAAGUCAGUUGUGAAAGUUUGCGGCUCAACCGUAAAAUUGCAAUUGAUACUG